rnacentral:rRNA from 1 species
UACGUAGGGCGCAAGCGUUGUCCGGAAUUAUUGGGCGUAAAGAGCUCGUAGGCGGUUUGUCGCGUCUGCUGUGAAAGCCCGGGCCCAACCCGGGUCUGCAGUGGGUACGGGCAGACUAGAGUGCAGUAGGGGAGACUGGAAUUCCUGGUGUAGCGGUGAAAUGCGCAGAUAUCAGGAGGAACACCGAUGGCGAAGGCAGGUCUCUGGGCUGUUACUGACGCUGAGGAGCGAAAGCAUGGGGAGCGAACAGGAUUAGAUACCCGGUGUC